UUUGAUCAUGGCUCAGAUUGAACGCUGGCGGCAGGCCUAACACAUGCAAGUCGAGCGGUAACAGGGGUAGCUUGCUACCCGCUGACGAGCGGCGGACGGGUGAGUAAUGCAUAGGAAUCUGCCCGGUAGUGGGGGAUAACCUGGGGAAACCCAGGCUAAUACCGCAUACGUCUACGGGAGAAAGGGGGCUUCGGCUCCCGCUAUUGGAUGAGCCUAUGUCGGAUUAGCUAGUUGGUGAGGUAAAGGCUCACCAAGGCAACGAUCCGUAGCUGGUCUGAGAGGAUGAUCAGCCACAUCGGGACUGAGACACGGCCCGAAACUCUACGGGAGGCAGCAGUGGGGAAUAUUGGACAAUGGGGGCAACCCUGAUCCAGCCAUGCCGCGUGUGUGAAGAAGGCCCUCGGGUUGUAAAGCACUUUCAGCGAGGAAGAACGCCUAUCGGUUAAUACCCGGUAGGAAAGACAUCACUCGCAGAAGAAGCACCGGCUAACUCCGUGCCAGCAGCCGCGGUAAUACGGAGGGUGCAAGCGUUAAUCGGAAUUACUGGGCGUAAAGCGCGCGUAGGUGGCUUGAUAAGCCGGUUGUGAAAGCCCCGGGCUCAACCUGGGAACGGCAUCCGGAACUGUCAGGCUAGAGUGCAGGAGAGGAAGGUAGAAUUCCCGGUGUAGCGGUGAAAUGCGUAGAGAUCGGGAGGAAUACCAGUGGCGA
rnacentral:rRNA from 1 species